rnacentral:rRNA from 1 species
AUUAAUACCUCAUAGUAUGUGAGGAUGCAUCAUUUCACAUUAAAGUCACAACGGCAAAAGAUGAGCAUGCGUCCCAUUAGCUAGUUGGUAAGGUAACGGCUUACCAAGGCUACGAUGGGUAGGGGUCCUGAGAGGGAGAUCCCCCACACUGGUACUGAGACACGGACCAGACUCCUACGGGAGGCAGCAGUGAGGAAUAUUGGACAAUGGGCGCAAGCCUGAUCCAGCCAUGCCGCGUGCAGGAAUAAGGUCCUAUGGAUUGUAAACUGCUUUUAUACAGGAAGAAACACACCCUCGUGAGGGUACUUGACGGUACUGUAUGAAUAAGGACCGGCUAACUCCGUG